GAUGAACGCUGGCGGCGUGCCUAAUACAUGCAAGUCGAGCGAACAGACGAGAAGCUUGCUUCUCUGAUGUUAGCGGCGGACGGGUGAGUAACACGUGGAUAACCUACCUAUAAGACUGGGAUAACUUCGGGAAACCGGAGCUAAUACCGGAUAAUAUUUUGAACCGCAUGGUUCAAUAGUGAAAGACGGUCUUGCUGUCACUUAUAGAUGGAUCCGCGCUGCAUUAGCUAGUUGGUAAGGUAACGGCUUACCAAGGCAACGAUGCAUAGCCGACCUGAGAGGGUGAUCGGCCACACUGGAACUGAGACACGGUCCAGACUCCUACGGGAGGCAGCAGUAGGGAAUCUUCCGCAAUGGGCGAAAGCCUGACGGAGCAACGCCGCGUGAGUGAUGAAGGUCUUCGGAUCGUAAAACUCUGUUAUUAGGGAAGAACAGAUGUGUAAGUAACUGUGCACAUCUUGACGGUACCUAAUCAGAAAGCCACGGCUAACUACGUG
rnacentral:rRNA from 1 species